UGAUACGCUGCGAAAAGCCGUGGGGAGCUGCGAAUAAGCUUUGAUCCAUGGAUCUCCGAAUGGGGCAACCCACCUUAAAUACCUAGAAAAUCAUUCCUGUUGGAAUGAUUUGUCUAGCUUUGUUUGAUCUUACGUGCCGUAUCGCACUUCCUUUGGAAGUGCUGGCACUGCGAUGGCGCGGCAAACGAUUGCCGACGGCCUCUGGCCUGUAUGGGUGGCAUGCUCGAAGUUCGGGUAUGGCAGCAAUACAGCGCAGAGCGCGUCGCCGGUCGUCCGGCGCACCGUCUGUAGCGAAGCAGCGCAAGCUGCGACAGCGUGAAGACAAAGCAAACCCGGCACGUCCGGGUGGGACAGGGCAACCGGAAUGGUUUCUAGGUAUUGUGAUAAGGUAUCUGCACCUGAAUACAUAGGGUGUAAGAAGCGAACGCAGGGAACUGAAACAUCUAAGUACCUGCAGGAA
rnacentral:rRNA from 2 species